rnacentral:rRNA from 1 species
AUUGAACGCUGGCGGCAGGCUUAACACAUGCAAGUCGAGCGAGCGGCGGACGGGUGAGUAAUGUCUGGGAAACUGCCUGAUGGAGGGGGAUAACUACUGGAAACGGUAGCUAAAACCGCACACCAACAGAUGUGCCCAGAUGGGAUUCGCUAGUAGGUGGGGUAAUGGCUAACCUAGGCGACGAGCCAUAGCUGGUCUGAGAGGAUGACCAGCCACACUGGAACUGAGACACGGUCCAGACUCCUACGGGAGGCAGCAGUGGGGAAUAUUGCACAAUGGGCGCAAGCCUGAUGCAGCCAUGCCGCGUGUGUGAAGAAGGCCGUCGGGUUGUAAAGCACUUUCAGCGAGGAGGCGUUACUCUCAGAAGAAGGACCGGCUAACUCCGUGCCAGCAGCCGCGGUAAUAC